AGAGUUUGAUUCGGCUCAGAACGAACGCUGGUGGCGUGUCUAUACAUGCAAGUCGAGCGAGGCAGCAAUGCCGAGCGGCGAACGGGUGAGUAACGCGUAAGCAAUCUGCCCCAUAUCAGGAAAUACCCGUGCCAACGCGCGGUUAAUGUCCAGGAGAGUGGCCCUCCGCAUGGAGGGUUGACUAGAGAUUUAUCGGUAUGGGAUGAGCUUGCGUCCGAUUAGCUAGUUGGCGGGCAACGGCCCACCAAGGCGACGAUCGGUAGCCGGCCUGAGAGGGUGAUCGGCCACAUUGGGACUGAGAUACGGCCCAGACUCCUACGGGAGGCAGCAGUAGGGAAUAUUGCACAAUGGGGGAAACCCUGAUGCAGCAACGCCAACCGUGUGGGAAGAAGCAUUUCGGUGUGUAAACCACUGUCAUGAGGGAAUAAGGCCCGCCUUCGGACGGGAUUGAAUGUACCUUGAAAGGAAGCACCGGCAAACUUCGUGCCAGCAGCGGC
rnacentral:rRNA from 1 species